GCCACUAAUUACUUCCAGAAUAGAUAAAUUUGCAUUCUCAUCAACAAUCAGCUGAUAACUAAUAAUGGCCUAGGUUAAUGUAAUAUUCAGUAUAUAAGCUAAGCAGAUUAUUGCUAAAAUUCAAAACACGAGUUAACCUCAACAUGAAAUUUCUAGCCAUCUUUUUGUUCUUCGCUCUGGUUGCCCUCUCUUUGGGAAAGCCUCAGCCUGCUGCUGAAAAUCCUCAACCUAAAGCAGCCGAAUCGAAUGAUUCGAAUCCCUCAAAUCCACCAGCUGAUAGCGAGAGUCCAGUACGUUUUGGAGCCGAACCUUAUCGUACUGCCGAUGGUACUUGGGGUAUUAAGUUUACCUUUUAAAAUUGAAUCGGAAUGAAAAUGGGGAUAUUGAAUUGAUGACAAAUGUGGAUAUAUAAAUAUAUAUAUAUUUGAGUGGGAAAUGACGUACAUAUAUUAUAUAUUAAGGAAAUGUGUAAAUAAAUGUAAACAGCGUAUAACAUAAUUUAAAAAAAAAUAAAUAUAGGAUCCUAUUUUA